CGAGUGGGACAUGCGGUCGCGGCCGGAAGGACCGAAAGGGACCGGCUGAGGAAAGUCCGGGCUUCACAGGGCAGGAUGCCGGAUAACGUCCGGCGGAGGCGACUCCAGGGAAAGUGCAACAGAAAAGAACCGCGCCGCUCUGCGGCGUAAGGGUGAAAAGGCAGUGUAAGAGACUACCGGUCUGCCGGUGACGGCAGACGCUGUGUAAACCCCAUCCGAAGCAAGACCGAACGGAAGACAUUGUGGCGGCCCGUCACGUCUUCGGGUAGGUCGCUGGAGUCCUCCGGCAACGGAGGAACAAGACAGAUGACCGCACACGACAUAACCCGGCUUAUCGUCCCGCUCGCAAG
rnacentral:RNase_P_RNA from 1 species